GCAAUGUGAAUAGGUAGAGUGGGACUCAUUACGUAGGAAAAGUAGAAGAUGUGAUUGAAGCCCUUAUACUUCAAUUAUUCAGCAAAAUAGGAUCCUAUGAGAGCUUUAAAAUAAAAACAAAGCAUACAAGCAAUGGUUCCUAAUAUUUUAUGAAAUUUUAUAAGCACAAACAUGCAGCUGUUACAUUAGCUGCUAUAAGUGGGAGAAAACUUCUGAUAAAAAGAGGUCAAAGAAAAUGACAAUAGCAUCAAGGAGUUAGGAAAAAAGAUACUAUCAGUCUUUUCCGUGUGUUUUUUAAAAAUUUGAGUCAAGAAAUUACAAUAAAAUAUAUCAAAUCAUCCUUUGCCCCUAUUAAUAUGAAAUAUUAUAUGGCUGGGUUAAUAAAGAUUUGGCAACUGGAAAAUCCAGUAGCUAUCAUUUUGUAUUUUUUAUGAAUAAUUGGAUGCUGAAAAUGCAAUUGUACCUAUGGAAGAUCAAUGAUGAAGUAAUUGUCAGAUCAGAGCUAACUGGGCUGUACAAAAACCAUGUGUGACUAAAAGUACAUAAAAAUACAGCCCAAAGCCUUUGA
rnacentral:lncRNA from 1 species